CUGGCUCCAGUGAUGAGUUGUGUAACCGCCCCAGUCUGAUUUCCAUGACUGAGUGGUCCCUCUGAGUUUAG